CCACAUAAGCGGCUCGCGGUCACCACUUCUUUCAGGUCACUCUCGGGUUUCCCGGCCACCAUAAAGGGCCACGUCUGCAGGAAAGAAGAGGGCGUUGGAGGCGUUCUAUAGCACAGCUCACUCAAGUUUCCUGUUCAGAGAUGAACGCAGCAGCAACUGUAAAUGAGGUAAGUACUUUCAUUUUGGUUCCAGAUUUUAAGAAAGCUAUCUACUCACCUUAUUCGAAAAAAAAAAAAAAAUAAAACUGUGAUCAGAGGGGAAAAAUAUUUACCAGGCUAAAGUGUGCUUCCGCAUCCCCUCCCCCCAAUUCCUGAAACCAAUUCAGUGAGAAGAGGAUUCAAAGCUUCAAACCUCUCCCGCUAGUGCUGGCCGAUAAGGCGACUUUCAAGAGGAAAACCUCUCCUUCUUAUCAUAUAUAAACAAAGGUGCUAGUAAGUUGUGGUUGUUUUUCUUUAGAGCCUGCAAGUUUUAAAAUGAAGUCAAAUCAAAAAGGAGUUAAACCGUGCUUCUUGCAUGGCAACAUGCAUUUGAGAAAAAUUUAGCCUCAAUGAGCAUUCCUUUUUUUUUUUUAAGACAGACUGAAAGGUCAUUACUUUUUAAGAUAAAAUGUAACACGUUUUUAAAUCUUGGGCAAGAGUGACCUAUUCGAAUAUUAUUUAUGACACUGAUAUUUGUGAGAAUCUGCGGGUUAUGCUGAUGUGUACUAGAAUUCCUGGGAUUUAAAAAUGUCAACGUGCUUAUAAGAGAAGCGCAGAAUAUUUAAGCAGUUGGGGGCUUAGAUGACAAUUAUGGGGGCACGAGUUUGUCUAUAAUAUCUAAUGGUCCUAAAUAUACUUGGGAGGGAAGCGGAGCUGGGUGUUUUUAUGUACAAAAAUUAGAGGGGAAAAUCAAGGUCUCGUCGGCUAAAAGAAGAAGAAAGAGAUGAAUAAAAUGCCUUUGUGGGCGCGCAGCAUCUCGUCGGGGUUCCCUGUCCCACAUCAGCCCUGAUGGCGCGGGCGCGGGGGGAUCCCUCCUCGCUGCCAGCUCAGGACACUUGCAAAAAUCUUAAUUGGGCUGCCACGUUAAGCACUUGCAUAAAUCAUCCCCGCUCCAGCGGCUCUCAGCGCGGAUCGCCCGCAAAGGUCCCCAGAGGCGCGCGGGGCUGGUGGUGGCCGGGGCGCGCGCGCGCUCACCGCGCCGCGGGCGCGCUGGGCGGGGACGCCCGGCCCGCCUCGCGGGCCCCCGCGGACUUACCAGGUUGACCGGGUGAAUGUAACCGUUCUCGUACUUGUCGUUCGCCAGGAUCUGCCUCAAGUGCGCGAUGUAGCUGGACGCCAGCCUGAGCGUGUCCAGCUUGGAGAGCUUGGUGUCCGGGGGCACCCAGGGCAAGGUGGUCUUGAGCCUGGAGAAGGCCUUGCUCAGCACCCGCAUCCGGGCCCUCUCGCGCGCGUUGGCCGCGUUGCGCUGGACCUGCUUCCCCUCCUGGCUGACGCCGCCCAAGGGGCUCUUCUUGGUGGGCGCCUUCCUCCUCUUGCCCAGGCCUCCGCGGCCCUUCUGGGGCGACCCCGCCUCGCAGUUGGAGCUCUCCUCGGUGCUCUCGUUGGAAGUCACAAACUCCUUGCCCGAGUCCAUUUUCAGCCCGUCGCAGUCCAGCAUCUCCACCUCUUGGAGAGCUGUGAGAAGGAACCGAGAGGGCUUCUGCGGGGAGGAACCCGGCUCUGUGUCCCCACCCCCGGAGUCCUGGCCGCAGAGGAGUGUGGAGCUUUAAAUGACCAUAUCCACCACCAAGAUUUAUUGUGAGAGUGAUUGAUGUUAUAAACCAGGAACAGGACUCUUCCCACAGCAGGGAUGACAGAAAUAUCAAGUUGAAGUUGCCUUUGUCCUCCUGCACAACUGACCCGGUACUACAACACAGAAGAAGUAUAAUAAUUUAAUCCGAGAUCUACGACAGCGUUAAGAGAACACCCCGCAGGCCCGCUAAACAUUUCCCCAGCUGAUUCUUGGGUUUUCCCUCCCAUUUCUUGGUCUUAGUAAGGCAUGAGAGUCAUGAAAGUGGGCUUUGGCCAGCACUUUGUGCAACGUGUUAUGUAUUUUUGUAGCUACUGAGGUAUCUGCAAAAUAACCGCGAUUUAUUUAUUUAUUUAUUCACUGGGACUCUGGAGUGGGAUAAAAAUUAAGAAUCAGAACUAUGGCCUUACCACAUGCCAAGCUAUUAAGCUAUAAAGCUUUUGGUUCCUGGAGCACUCAUGUUUGAGGGGGAGGGGUAAGGGUCUGGUUUUCUGCCACAUCUCAGUUGUUAGGCUGCUCAGGCUAUUUGGGGGAUAGCAACCAUCAUAGAAAUAAGUACCAGAUUUUUGCUGUCUAUGUUUUCAAUGUCUGAAACUUGGAAAUAGAAAUUUCUGGAAGAGA